rnacentral:miRNA from 1 species
GGCGAAUGUCGGUAUGGUCUCU